rnacentral:rRNA from 1 species
CUACGGGUUGCACCAGUGGGGAAUAUUGGGCAAUGGGCGCAAGCCUGACCCAGCAACGCCGCGUGAGGGAAGAAUGUCUUCGGAUUGUAAACCUCUGUCCUUGGGGACGAAAAAAAUGACGGUACCCAAGGAGGAAGCUCCGGCUAACUACGUGCCAGCAGCCGCGGUAAUACGUAGGGAGCAAGCGUUGUCCGGAAUUAUUGGGCGUAAAGGGUGCGUAGGCGGCGCUGUAAGUCAGAUGUGAAAUCCCCGGGCUUAACUCGGGAGUUGCAUUUGAAACUACAGUGCUUGAGUAAAGAAGGGGUAAGUGGAAUUCCUAGUGUAGCGGUGGAAUGCGCAGAUAUUAGGAGGAACACCAGUGGCGAAGGCGACUUACUGGUCUUUUACUGACGCUGAGGCACGAAAGCGUGGGGAGCAAACAGGAUUAGAUACCCUGGUAGUC